rnacentral:rRNA from 1 species
UACGUAGGGCGCAAGCGUUGUCCGGAAUUAUUGGGCGUAAAGAGCUCGUAGGCGGCCAGUUGCGUCCGCUGUGAAAUCCCGGGGCUCAACCCCGGGCCUGCAGUGGAUACGGGCUGGCUAGAGGCAGGCAGGGGGAGAACGGAAUUCCUGGUGUAGCGGUGGAAUGCGCAGAUAUCAGGAGGAACACCAAUUGCGAAGGCAGCUCGCUGGGACGUUACUGACGCUGAGACGCGAAAGCGUGGGGGAGCAAACAGG